GCUAAAGUAUCAUCAUCAUCAUGGUAGUUGUUAAGAGCACAUUUUUUAUAAAUGCACAGUAAACAGUAGGGUAACAAUAGUUUUAACAAUUUUUGAGCAAUCCUUAUGUCACAGCAAUAAGCUUGAUGUGUUGAAUCAGUUAAGUAGUAUGCUUAUUAUGUAAGACUGACUCGUGUGCGUCCUAGCAGUGUUCGUGUGUGGUCAGGUGUGUAGCCUAGGGCUGAUGUAGUGGGUUACGAUGUAGUGCACAUCUCACUGUUGCGGACUUAGUGUCAGUUUGGUAUGUAUGUGAAAGCUUAAGUGUGUGGUAUAGCUUGCACCGCCUUCCUUGUCUAGGGCAUUAGUGGAGCUCUUUUGCAGAGUCUGGAGGCAGGGGGGUAUUAAACAUGUGUGUCAUGUCUGCCAUAUUAUGCCAUCAGGUGUUGCAAGUGUAAAAUAAAUGUCUCAUUAUCGGAGGAACCAAACAAAGUAGAGGACAAAACAUUUGAGAAUUAAACAUAUACCUACAAGAUAGGGCUGAGUGUAGGACUGUCCUCAGGACGUGGAUGCUACAUAUAAGUCCGGCAGGGCUCCCCAUAGAAUGAAUGGGGUGAUCUUUGCUGGAUUCCAAGUGCGUGAGGGACCGGGAGCGGUGGUGGGUUCUUUAGUGCUCAGACUGUCCUGUUGGAGGCCCAGGGCGGGUAGUACUAAGCUGUUGCUUCUUGGAUGUCUUGGAACAGGUGCGUGGAAUCUCCGUGUGUUACCAUGAGCGUGCGAGACAUGCGCCAAUGGAAGCGUAUAUUCUUUUGCUGAAGGCGGGAGGUGAGAGGCCUGAGGGACCUCUGCCAGGCCAGGGUGCUGUUUGAGAGGUCCUGGUAGAAGGCCAGCGACAUGCCUUCCAUUUGGUAUGAGGUACCUUCAGGACCAUAAGGACUGCUACUUUGUCUAUUCCCAAUUUGAAUUGGACCACCAGGUCCCGCGGGAAUGUUGCUGGGGCCUUGGCCUGUUUGGGGAUUCGGAAUAGGCCAUCCAGUUGUAUAGCUUUAGCUUGCCGUGGGGGAAGUAGUGCGGCCAUAAGUCUCCUCAUUAG